GGAUCGAGAUUUUUUCUCUCUCAAGGCCAUUAGCUCACCGAUUCGCUUCUCUUCUCUCUCUUCCUCUCGUCCUUCAAUUCCCCCGAAAGAGAGAAGCGGAAACCCUAUCUCCGGCCCCGAAUGGCGAACAGCAAUCUACCUCGCCGAAUUAUCAAGGAAACGCAGCGCCUCCUCAGCGAGCCAGCUCCUGGCAUAAGUGCCUCUCCAUCAGAGGACAAUAUGCGCUAUUUUAAUGUGAUGAUUCUUGGACCGACGCAGUCUCCAUAUGAAGGAGGGGUUUUCAAGCUUGAAUUGUUCUUGCCUGAAGAGUAUCCUAUGGCUGCCCCGAAGGUUCGCUUUCUCACCAAGAUUUACCAUCCUAAUAUUGACAAGCUUGGAAGAAUAUGCCUUGAUAUUCUUAAAGAUAAAUGGAGUCCAGCUCUCCAGAUUCGAACUGUAUUGCUGAGGUUACAUGAUUAUUUCCAUUGCACUAUUACUUAUUCAAGCGCUUCUGAGUGCUCCAAACCCAGAUGACCCUCUUUCUGACAACAUUGCAAAGCAUUGGAAGGCAAAUGAAGCUGAAGCUGUAGAAACAGCCAAGGAAUGGACCCGUCUAUAUGCCAGCGGGGCAUGACGACAUUGCAGUAGUAGCUGUGUGCUCGUAAUAACUAGUCCACUUUGGAAGUUAAUUCGGCCAUUGUUUGCUUGCAACAAUGCAAUGGAAGUGUUGGAUGGUGCUCCUUUCAAAUGUUAGUCCUUCCAAGCUCCAAUUAUACCAUAUGAUGUAAAUCACUUCGUUGGGCUGAAGCCACCUUUUCAGAUAUCAUUUGUGUCACUAGUCGAAGUUUGCUGUUUUUGGGUCUCUUGUGCAAGGAGCAUUCAGUUUCAUAAUAACAUAGGUGCAUUUUACGAUUUUCAUGUUUUAAAACAGCAGAUAUUGGAACUUGUUAAGGCAGUUUGUUUGUGCGCAAGU